UCUCAUUCUCUAUGUUGUAUGUUUCUUUUUUUUUUUUUAAUGAAUUGUUUAAAUAGAAAAAAAAAAGAGAAUGCACUCGCUGGAUACUUUCAAUAUUUUCUUUGCAUUAUCAAUCAUGUUUCUCUCUAUACAUAAUCUUUGCUUAUAGCAAAGGAAGUUGCGUAAAUAAUCUUAUUUUAUAUUAAUUAUAAAGAUUAAGUUUGUAUUAAAGAUUUUGUUUUGGACAAAUCUGAUAAAAUAAAGAAAAAAAAAAGAAAUUUGUUUAAAAAAAAAAAAAAAAGCCAUCAAUUAAGUUGAUAAAAGUAAAUAAUGUUUAUAAAUGUACCUAUAUACCAUUGUAAUUGAAAACUAAUAUCAAAAUGUAAUAUCUUGGAAAAGAAAAGAUAACAGAGUAUCUGAUCUUUGAUUUUGUGUGUGACCCAUUUAAAAAAAAAAAGUUAUAAGUAUAUAAAACAUAUUACAAUUUAAAAUACUGAGAAGACAUUUAAUUAAACUAAGACAACACCUUUUGCAUACAAUAAUUGAAUCUACUGUGUAAAAUUUAAUCAAACUGCAAAGUCAAAAGUCAGGCUUAUUUCUUGAAUACUUGUCAAAUGUAAUGCAAAAUACAUAUUAAUUCAUAAUUUAUAAUGUCAAAUUUCCCACAAUAUAAUGUUUGUCAUAAACUAGUUUCAAAUGUCUGGGCUGUUAUCUAGUAAGUUAUGUUUCAUUUUUUCACUAAAAGAAAACUUUGUUAGUAAUGGAGUUUUUUUUCUGUUUCAUGGUGGUUGUAAUCACUUAAAGAAAACACUUGAAGGCAUUUCUCUGUUGUCAUUAUCAUUCCUUGGGCCAUUGUCUUAGUCAGAAUAUUUAACAACUUGAGCUUCAGUACAAUAAUUUACUUGUCCAUAAUUUAAAAUGUGGUUAUUGUAUUAUAGAUUGCUUAGAGUUCAAUUAAUCCACACAACAGCUACACUCUUAUCAUAAUAUUGAUAAACAUGAACUAAAGCCAACAAACUUGAAUUAUAAUGUCAACUUGUUUAACCUAUACUUCUACAUGUAAUU